rnacentral:rRNA from 1 species
ACGCUCGACACCUACGGGAGGCAGCAGUGGGGAAUAUUGCACAAUGGGGGGAAACCCUGAUGCAGCGACGCCGCGUGAGUGAAGAAGUAUUUCGGUAUGUAAAGCUCUAUCAGCAGGGAAGAAGAUGACGGUACCUGAGUAAGAAGCCCCGGCUAACUACGUCCCAGCAGCCGCGGUAAUCUGAGCGGGCUGGCAAGGC